CGGAAGAUAAACAAUAUGCAGUGAUAGUCUGUGGUCAUUAUCUGGGUUUAGAACCUCUGAAUCCUCUAAGGAGUAGAACAUUAGGUAAAAGUGCUGCAACACAUGCAAGAGGUUAUGAAACCUCUGUGUUCAAGACCUUGAACUAGAUGCAUGAACAAAGCCACAAGGAUGUUUUCACCACCAUGAUCAGAUCUGACUCUUGAUGGUAGGGCGUAGAGGCAUGUUGCUUUCAAAAACUGAGAAAGCACUGUUGUGGAACGAUUGUCUGUGCUGCAGCUGAGGUAAGUAAUCAGACGGGAGUAUCCAUCAAUAGGCCUAUCUCACAGAAAUCGGAAAUGACGUCACACCGGGUAAACAUUCUUCCGGCGUAGUCAUUUUUGUAUUGCCGUCAAUGCAAAAAUGGAUCGUUUCUUCGCCACUUCCCUGGUGGGUUUUCCGAAAUUGCGAUUCGAAGAUGUGCAGAAGAUUGUGGAGACACACUCAGCAACACCACAGCCCAGGCUGACAAAGGGGUACACGUUUUUUGUGGAGGAGUUUGUACACAAUUAUCAAGAUCACCCUGGAGGCUGUUGGACAACUGGGUCUCUCAGAGCUGUAGCUCUGCUGCGGGCAAAGGCUUCUGUAGCCAUAUAACCCCUCUGCUGUUCCAGACAGCGCAUUAUGUGCAGCUGGGCCUUGAUGUGGUUCCACCUUCCCUGGCCUGUACCAGUCAACCACAGAUGUGGCAUCGACCUCGAACCCACGGAAUCCAUUCAGAGGCUGUGAGUGACCUGGUGGUGAAGAAACCCAAGUCGGUGGGGAAGACUGGAGUCAAGUCCACACUCUACAGAGCGUAUGCUGGUAAGACAUUUGUUUUGCAAUUUGCACUCUGUUAAACUUGCUCAUUAUGAAAAGAUGCAUAUUAGAAUACAUCUGUUAUCACUACAAUAUAAAAAAAAACAGUCACAUUUUUAUUUGACGUUUCGCCCUUUGAUGUCCCACAUCCUAGAGGGAAUAUCCAGCUUGGAGUUGGUACCAUCUCAGCUGUGCUGACCUGGAAGAUGUCAGCAAUGACUUGUUCUUUAAGGCCAGUUGCUACUCUACAACAGUAGAUGAAAAACUCAUCAAUGUCUGGAAUCUUCCUUGAAGGGCUUGGUGUUGGAAUCGCCUCGUCCUAUCCUCUGUGCUUUGCUCCAAUAAAGAAUAUAUUGUGUUGAGGGGCAAAACAGACUCCCAAAACACUUGAAACACUUCUUGAGAUGGAAACCGAGUAUAAUAUGUCAUGGUCUGAUCAGACACACGAAAUCUGUUGAGGACAGUUUGUGGCCCCAUGGACAUUUCUUGCAACCUUGCCUCCAGCUCAGCAAUAUACUCCAGGGCAUCAUCCAGUGCACCUACAAAAAAAGAAGAGAAAUCAGUCUUCAUUACCAU